GUGUGAGACAUGGAGUCAAAGAAGAUUAUUCUGGAGCCUCAAAACUUAAUGUUGUUUUCCCUGUAGGGCUUUGGACUUACUUGGGUCCUAAUACCCCUUUCUUCUUGCCUGCCUCUUUCUCUCUGUCCUCUCUCAGAAUGGAAAUGUCUAUCGUAUACCUGUCCAUUCAUUGUAUCUUGGAAGUAGAUAACUUGUUUUGAUUCCACAGGCUGCCCGCAGCAGUCAAGCAAUUGGGAAUGAACCAUCCUAAAGACAACGGGCGAGUCACCCAAAGCAACCAACAGCACCCAGCAUCGCCAGCUUUGUUUGCCUGGGUCUUGCCUCUGUUUACGAUACUUGGAGAACAGCAAGUGUGGGAGAGAGGAUAAAACACAAGAUAGCUUUUACAAAAUGACUAAUAAAGAAAUAAUGGGAACCCAAUAACUACCAACUACAGAGGCAAGAGAAAUAAUAAAAAUAAUAAAGCAGAAAAUGUACAAAGCAAACAA